rnacentral:rRNA from 1 species
UACAGAGGGGGCAAGCGUUGUUCGGAAUUAUUGGGCGUAAAGCGCGUGUAGGCGGCUUUGCAAGUCGGGUGUGAAAGCCCUCAGCUCAACUGAGGAAGUGCGCCCCGAAACUGCAGAGCUUGAGUGCCGGAGAGGAUCGUGGAAUUCUCGGUGUAGAGGUGAAAAUUCGUAGAUAUCGAGAGGAACACCGGUGGCGAAAGGCGGCGAUCUGGACGAUGACUGACGCUGAGACGCGAAAGCGUGGGGAGCAAACAGG